UACGUAGGGUGCAAGCGUUGUCCGGAAUUCUUGGGCGUAAAGAGCUCGUAGGCGGUUUGUUGCGUCGGCUGUGAAAACCUGAGGCUCAACCUCAGGCCUGCAGUCGAUACGAGCAGACUAGAGUGUUGCAGGGGAGACUGGAAUUCCUGGUGUAGCGGUGAAAUGCGCAGAUAUCAGGAGGAACACCGGUGGCGAAGGCGGGUCUCUGGGCAACAACUGACGCUGAGGAGCGAAAGCGUGGGGAGCGAACAGG
rnacentral:rRNA from 1 species